rnacentral:rRNA from 1 species
UACGGAGGGUGCAAGCGUUGUCCGGAAUCAUUGGGCGUAAAGAGUUCGUAGGCGGCACGUAAAGUCUGGAGUGAAAGGUACCGGCUCAACCGGUAUAGGCUCUGGAAACUGGCGGGCUAGAGAGCAGGAGAGGGCGGUGGAACUCCAUGUGUAGCGGUAAAAUGCGUAGAUAUAUGGAAGAACACCAGUGGCGAAGGCGGCCGCCUGGCCUGUUGCUGACGCUGAGGCACGAAAGCGUGGGGAGCAAAUAGG